ACCUAUUCCCAUGUGAUCACCAAAGUUAAGCAACAUUGAGCCUGAUUAUAACUAGAUGGGUGACUGCUUGGGAAUACCAGGUGCUGUAA